rnacentral:rRNA from 1 species
GACGAACGCUGGCGGCGUGCUUAACACAUGCAAGUCGAACGGAAAGGCCCUGCUUUUGUGGGGUGCUCGAGUGGCGAACGGGAGAGUAACACGUGAGUAACCUGCCCUUGACUUUGGGAUAACUUCAGGAAACUGGGGCUAAUACCGGAUAGGAGCUCCUGCUGCAUGGUGGGGGUUGGAAAGUUUCGGCGGUUGGGGAUGGACUCGCGGCUUAUCAGCUUGUUGGUGGGGUAGUGGCUUACCAAGGCUUUGACGGGUAGCCGGCCUGAGAGGGUGACCGGCCACAUUGGGACUGAGAUACGGCCCAGACUCCUACGGGAGGCAGCAGUGGGGAAUAUUGCACAAUGGGCGGAAGCCCGAUGCAGCAACACCGCGUGCGGGAUGACGGCCUUCGGGUUGUAAACCGCUUUCGCCUGUGACGAAGCGUGAGUGACGGUAAUGGGUAAAGAAGCACCGGCUAACUACGUG